GAAUAUUGGACAAUGGGGGCAACCCUGAUCCAGCGAUGCCGCGGGAGUGAAGAAGGCCUUCGGGUCGUAAAGCUCUUUAGGUUGGGAAGAAGUGUGUUAGGGGAUAAUCCUGAUACAUUGCCGGUACUAACAGAAUAAGCACCGGCAAACUCUGUGCCAGCAGCCGCGGUAAUACAGAGGGUGCGAGCGUUAAUCGGAUUUACUGGGCGUAAAGGGCGCGUAGGCGGUGAUAUGGGUGUGAUGUGAAAGCCCUGGGCUUAACCUAGGAAGUGCAUUGCAAACGAUAUGACUGGAGUAGAUGAGAGGGCGGCGGAAUUUCCGGUGUAGCGGUGAAAUGCGUAGAGAUCGGAAGGAACGUCGAUGGCGAAGGCAGCCACCUGGCAUCAUACUGACGCUGAGGCGCGAAAGCGUGGGUAGCGAACAGG
rnacentral:rRNA from 1 species